UGGUGAUGGUCAGCAGCUAAGGGUCUGGAUAAUUAUGCGCUGUUAUAGGGUGUUGUAACAGCUACAGAUGGCUUAAAGACUAGACUAGUCACAAAGAUAACCCCCCGCCGCCUUUUUUAAACAUUCCAAAUACCAGGGGCGACUGGCCAUCAGGAGAACCGGGACUUUUCCCGAGGGGCCCGCCUCGAAAUGGGGCAGAAUGGGCCGCGAUAAGCUGAAAUGGGCCGCCGCGUUAUGCAGAACGGGCCACAAAACGGCGCCGCGAUAUGCAGAAAAGGACAGCGACAAAGAAAAAGGUGGAUAAUGGAACAAGUUUUACUAUGCUAACGCAGUUGGAGAACCAGGCACAGGGCCCUGCCUUUGAUGAGCCGAGUGUGAGGCCAGGAUGGCUCCUCUGGCCACAGGCGUGUGCUAGUGUGGGAGCGUGUGAACGAACAG